rnacentral:misc_RNA from 1 species
CUUGAACUCGCUACUCGAUUGGCUGGUCAGAUUGCCCGCGCCGCGACCAUUUUUCGAAUCGAUGAGGUGGUGGUGUUUGACGAUAAAAGUAAUUCAGUGAAUGAGCAUCCCACUGUGAACACAGGCAGUAACUCUGAUGAUAGUGAAAGCGGUGCGGCUUUUCUCGUGAGAAUCUUGCGCUAUCUCGAGACUCCACAGUAUCUAAGAAAAGCCCUCUUUCCAAAGCAUAAUAGCCUGAGAUUUGUGGGUUUGUUGCCUCC